rnacentral:lncRNA from 1 species
AGACAAAAUAUGUCUCCCACAAGUCAGAAGCCUGGCACGGCCCGUGCUAGCCUUGGCACGGCCGUGCCACCCUCCAGAAGACCUUUUGCUGCUUUUGCUUGGGCUCUAAGCUAUUCUAUUUUGGCGCACAAUCUACCGUGGAAUAUUCUUGGAAUAUACUUGCUUAGAUUUUAAGUCAAUUGUGUACUAUAAAUAGAGUAGCUAGCCAUCACAAAUAUUCAUCUUUUCUUGGAAUGCAAUAUGUGACAAUUGUUUUCUAAUAAAAGUUCAUUUACUUUAUUGUUAUUUACUUUUAUGCUUUCUCUCUUCUUCUCCUUGUCUACGAUGAACGUCAGUGAGUAGACUUCUCUUGUCUUGGGAUUGUUGGAUAAGUCUAAUGACAUAAUCCUAAUCAAACCAAGCUUUAAACCUUAAUCUUAUGUAACCCUAAUUCCUUAUCUAAAUUCACCGCUUUAACAUGGAUCAACCAUUAUCAAACUGUGGAAACGAAAGUGGAGGGUUUGAUAAUUGUUUAUCCAUCAUCUCAAAUAUCAAUUCAUAAAACGAAAGUGGAGCUUUGAUAUUCGAACAAGUGAAUUUAGACAAGGAUUGCAAAGUCAGCGAAAUAGGCUUUGCAAUCUUUGAGACAUAUAGUUUCGAUCUUCAAGGGAACUAAUAACAAUCAAGUCAGCGAAAUAGGCUUGGUUGUUAGAGGAACCAAAAUCUAAUAGUAAUCAAGUCAGCGAAAUAGGCUUGGUUGCUAGAGGAACAAAAGAGAAACUGUCUUGAGAAAUUAGGUCUAACAUAAAGUUAUAAGUUUAAUAGUUUGGUUUGAGAAGGACUUGUCGUUAGGAUGAACCAAUAACCCCAAGGCUUUUAUCUUUUAUUUUAUUAUUUGCUCUUAAUUAAAAUCCCAAACUUUUCUACCUUAUAAACCUUUAGUCCAAUCAUUAUCUAAAGUUAAUUGAAUUCGUAACUCCCUGUCGGAACGAUACUCAUAUUUUACUACUUCGGUAAGACCGUGCACUUGCGGUUUUAUCCCAUCAAGUUUUUGGCGCCGCUGCGGGGGAUUGUCCGAAGGUGAUUCAAGAAAACGAGAAAAUUUUGAGGCCCCAUGUCCAGAACCUUGGCACGGCCCGUGCUAACACUGGCACGGCCGUGCCAGACCUUGCUACCCAAAAACUGACCCACAAUCCAGAAAGUUGGCACGGCCCGUGCUAAGUUUGGCACGGCCGUGCCCGAUCCCAGGUUCAGUUUUAUCUAACUUUUCAUCUUCUUCAUCCCCCAUUCUCAACCACUCACAUCCCUCAUCCUCCCAUUUUUAUCUAAAACCUCCAUAACCAAAAAACCUUACAAACUCCAUACCUCCCUCAAAACCUCACCAAUUCUCAAAAUUUCUUCACCCCAUCAACCACAAUCCACAUUUCAAUCAUAACCCUUCCAUCAAAAACAACUUUCUUCCAUCCCUACCAAAAAAAAAAAAACAUCAAAUUCGUAGCCCCCAUUCAACCAACUACAAAACCCACAAAUUCUUCACCAAUUCACCCAACCCAACUCCUAACACUUACUCAAACCCCAACCCCAUCACCCAACCUUCACCCAAAACACAAAAGGUCCACCAAGGUUAAGGAUAAUGGCAUCUAGGAAAGGUGGAGCAAGCUCUUCCGGAGGACCACAAUCAAAGAAGAAAACGCAAGCCAAGAAUCAUGGCAUAAUCUUCAAGGACACCAAGCAAAGGGACAGGUAUAAAAUUCUUCUCUCUAAACCUUUGCAUCCUUGUCGAUAUCCAGAUCCUUAUACUUUGAGUGUGCUAGGACUAAGGGAUAAUGUGUUUAAAUUACUAGGAAAUUUAGGAUGGGUUGAUAUGCUUAGACCUAUGAAAGGUUUCGAAAAUUUCACUUAUGAAUUCUUAAGUUCUAUUGAAUUUACGAAGGAUAAGGUGAAUUUUGACAACCCCGAUCAUAGAGUCUCUUUCCGACUUUUGAAUAUGGAUUAUGAGAUGUCUCUUGAAAAUUUCUGUUUAGAGAUGGACUUUGCAAAUGCGGGGUUCAUCCAUGACUCUUGGAAUCCAAAUUUAAAGUCGGAAAACUAUGACCCCGCUCUCUUUUGGAAACGCAUUACCGGGUUAAGGCAAUAUAAUCCCCGCAACAAUAAGGCUAGUAACAUUCACAACCCAGUACUUAGAUACCUCCAGAGAGUCAUGGCUUGUACCAUUUGGGGUAGAAAAGAGGUAGGAACAACUAGGACGGAUGAACUUUUUAUGCUUUGGGCAAUGCUUAGUAACAAUCCCGUUAAUACUUGUUUCUACCUACUUGAUUACCUUUCCUCCAUAGGAGCUAGACCUGAUAAUAGAGCUGAGAUAGUAGUCGGUGGUAUCAUUACCUUCAUCGCUAGGAAGUUUGGAGCGGGUGAGGAAGAUGGGAUAAAUCCAAUUGAGGGCAACAAUAGACUUAAUAUUGAAACCCUUGUUGCUAUGAACUUCAUUAAGAUUCACCCACCCAUGACUUAUGCACUUCAACUUCGCAUACCACUUUUAUUUCUACUUCCUAACCCAUCUCGGACUAACCCCGAGGUGGAGGAAAAUUUGUUGUAUGUUGGUGAUGGAUUACAGGUACAUGAAGAGCAUAAUCAAGGUGACGAAGAAGGUGCACACAUGCACCAUGAAGAGGAGCCCCAUGACCAUAACGACAACAAUGAAAGAUGGGCAUGGAUGCAAACCGAGGUACAAAGGAUAAGCACCGAGCAACAAAGGCAAGGUGUUGAAUUAUCCGGGCUAAGAAAUGAUGUCCUACGGGGCAACCGCAUAUCCGAAGAAAAUAACCAAAUGCUUCGGAACAUGAUGCAACACUUCAACCUCCAAGGCCCUCCCUAUGGACCUCAAUAAAAAUGUGAGCUUUCCUCUUCCUCUUUUUUCACCUCAUCUCUUUAAUCUCUAUCUCACUCUUCUACCUCUCCUUCUCUUCUACUUUUCUUUUAUCUUGAAUCAUUGAGGACAAUGCUUCUCCUAAGUGUGGGGGGAGCCUAAUAAAGUGUCUUUAGUCGUAGUGUUUCCAAACUCCCUUGAACUUUAUUCUUUUGUUUUGUUUUAUUGUAAAAGGCAUGGUUAAGUAGCUAAUUUUUAUUGAAAAUAUCAUGACACAAAAAUUUUCAUUGUCUCCUCUUAUUUUGUUGAUUAUUGUACAUGAAAGCAAACUCUUGUGUUUUAAGUCUUCUUGAUAUACCCACAUCUUGUUUUAAAGUGAAUAAAAUUCUCCAAUGAGAAAAACACAAAGUUGCUUCCCUUGAGUAAAUGUAUGAAUAGGUAUUUUAAGGAAACGCGUUUUAAUCUUAGUGGUGCAUUAACCUUUAAAGAUUCUCAAAAUGCCAGUAGUAUAAGUCAGUAUAAGGGAGUUCAUGAAAAGCCAAAAAGCCAAAUAAAUUCCAAGAUCUCAUCAUUGAAUCUAGAUUGGGGAAGGAGGUAGGCCCUCCGACUUCCUACGUGAAGAUGAUUGUUAUCUUGAGGAAAAACUUUAAAACGCAUCAUUGAAUCUAGAUUGGGGAAGGGGGUAGGCCCUCCGACUUCCUACGUGAAGAUGAUGUUUUAAGGGAUACCAUUGAAUCUAGAUUGGGGAAGGGGGUAGGCCCUCCGACCUCCUACGUGAAGAUGUUGUUCCUUAAAUAAAGAACUUAAAAUGUGCAAAUGGCAAAGAACAAAGAUUCUCAAAUACUCCCAUCUCUCUUAUAUGAAUUAUAGAAGGAAUCUUUCUUGGUUGGUUUAGUGCUAGGAUUAGACCAUGUUUCCUCAUAAUGCCUAUCUUAUACAGGAGCAAGAAAAGGGUUGGACUUCACACACACACUCACUUGAAACUUGAUCGUUGGGUUGAAUAAAAAUUACAAGAAACACUUGAGUUUGUGAUUAGUGUACACUUGGGAUUUAAGCCCUUGAGGAGACAUGUGCUUUAAUUGAAUUGUCAUUUGAUAUAACUGUUGGUGCUACUAUGUUUAUGCCUUUUGCUUGAGGACAAGCAAAGAUUCAAGUGUGGGGGAGUUUGAUGAGUCAUUUAUAUACUAUUUUAAUAUGCUUUUUAGUUUAGUUUUAUUUAGAUUUUAUAUAAUUUUAUAUUAGUAUUAUUUCCUUUUUAGGAUAGUUUACUUUAAAUUGCAAUUUAUUAUAUUUCAGGGAAGAAUAUUGGAUGGAUUGAGUCUUGGAGCAAAAGAAAGGGAUUUGGAGCAGAUUGGACACGAAAAUAUGAAGAUUGGGAGACAAAAUAUGUCUCCCACAAGUCAGAAGCCUGGCACGGCCCGUGCUAGCCUUGGCACGGCCGGGCCACCCUCCAGAAGACCUUUUGCUGCUUUUGCUUGGGCUCUAAGCUAUUCUAUUUUGGCGCACAAUCUACCGUGGAAUAUUCUUGGAAUAUACUUGCUUAGAUUUUAAGUCAAUUGUGUACUAUAAAUAGAGUAGCUAGCCAUCACAAAUAUUCAUCUUUUCUUGGAAUGCAAUAUGUGACAAUUGU